rnacentral:rRNA from 1 species
UGAGCUGGUGGUGGCCGCAGAGACCAGCGAGAAGCGACUGUUUACUAAAAACACAGGUCCGUGCGAAGCCGUAAGGCGAUGUAUACGGACUGACGCCUGCCCGGUGCUGGAACGUUAAGGGGACCGGUUAGCUCCAUUUCGGUGGGGCGAAGCUGAGAACUUAAGCGCCAGUAAACGGCGGUGGUAACUAUAACCAUCCUAAGGUAGCGAAAUUCCUUGUCGGGUAAGUUCCGACCUGCACGAAUGGCGUAACGACUUCUCGACUGUCUCAACCAUAGGCCCGGUGAAAUUGCACUACGAGUAAAGAUGCUCGUUUCGCGCAGCAGGACGGAAAGACCCCGGGACCUUUACUAUAGCUUGAUAUUGGUGUUUGGUUCGGCUUGUGUAGGAUAGGUGGGAGACUGUGAAGCCGUGACGCCAGUCAUGGUGGAGUCGUUGUUGAAAUACCACUCUGGUCGUGCUGGAUGUCUAACCUGGGUCCGUGAUCCGGAUCAGGGACAGUGUCUGGUGGGUAGUUUAACUGGGGCGGUUGCCUCCUAAAGGGUAACGGAGGCGCCCAAAGGUUCCCUCAGCCUGGUUGGCAAUCAGGUGUUGAGUGUAAGUGCACAAGGGAGCUUGACUGUGAGACUGACGGGUCGAGCAGGUACGAAAGUAGGGACUAGUGAUCCGGCGGUGGCUUGUGGAAGCGCCGUCGCUCAACGGAUAAAAGGUACCCCGGGGAUAACAGGCUGAUCUUCCCCAAGAGUCCAUAUCGACGGGAUGGUUUGGCACCUCGAUGUCGGCUCGUCGCAUCCUGGGGCUGGAGUCGGUCCCAAGGGUUGGGCUGUUCGCCCAUUAAAGCGGUACGCGAGCUGGGUUUAGAACGUCGUGAGACAGUUCGGUCCCUAUCCGCUGUGCGCGUAGGAGUCUUGAGAAGGGCUGUCCCUAGUACGAGAGGACCGGGACGGACGAACCUCUGGUGUGCCAGUUGUUCUGCCAAGGGCAUGGCUGGUUGGCUACGUUCGGAAAGGAUAACCGCUGAAAGCAUCUAAGCGGGAAGCCUGCUUCGAGAUGAGGGCUCCCUCCCACUUGAUGGGGUAAGGCUCCCAGUAGACGACUGGGUUGAUAGGCCAGAUAUGGAAG